GCUCACACCUCCCGCUCGCCGAAUACUAGAUCUGCCUCGGCUUCGCGCCGCGCCCCCCCACCCCCCCCGCGGAACGCUGUCUAAACUUCGCAGUCUGAUACCUAUUUCGAAGUUAUUUAAAACUUUCAACAACCGAUCUCUUGCUUCCGGCAUGAUGCACAAGGUUCCGAAAUGCAAUAACAAAUGUGAAUUGCGCAAUUCAUUGAGUCAUCUAGUCAUUGAACGCACAUUGCGCCCUCUGGAAUUCCGGAGGGCCCGCCUGUCCUACCGGGGGUGCUGCCCUCCAGACCGGCUUGUGUGCCGUUCAACCCCGGCUUGUGUGUUGGGUCCCCGUCCCCCCCGGGGGACGGGCCCAAAAGGCAGCGGCGGCACCGCGUCCGGUCCUCGAGCGUAUGGGGCUUUGUCACCCGCUCGAUUAGGGCCGGCCGGGCCCCAGCCGGCGUCUCCAACCUUCUAUUUUACCAGGUUGACCCCGGAUCAGGUAGGGAUACACGAGGAAAAUUACCCAUUGCGUGCCCC
rnacentral:rRNA from 1 species